rnacentral:rRNA from 1 species
UACGAAGGGGGCUAGCGUUGCUCGGAAUCACUGGGCGUAAAGGGUGCGCAGGCGGGUUUUUAAGUGAGGGGUGAAAUCCUGGAGCUCAACUCCAGAACUGCCUUUGAUACUGAAGAUCUUGAGUUCGGGAGAGGUGAGUGGAACUGCGAGUGUAGAGGUGAAAUUCGUAGAUAUUAGGAAGAACACCGGUGGCGAAGGCGGCCCACUGGCUCGACACUGACGCUGAGGUGCGAAAGCGUGGGGAGCAAACAGG